UACGUAGGGUGCGAGCGUUAAUCGGAAUUACUGGGCGUAAAGCGUGCGCAGGCGGUUUUGUAAGCCAGAUGUGAAAUCCCCGGGCUUAACCUGGGAAUGGCAUUUGGGACUGCAAGGCUGGAGUGCGGCAGAGGAGACUGGAAUUCCUGGUGUAGCAGUGAAAUGCGUAGAUAUCAGGAGGAAUACCGAUGGCGAAGGCAGGUCUCUGGGCUGACACUGACGCUCAUGCACGAAGCGUGGGGAGCAAACAGG
rnacentral:rRNA from 1 species